rnacentral:rRNA from 1 species
AGUGAACGCUGGCGGUAGGCCUAACACAUGCAAGUCGAACGGCAGCACAGUAAGAGCUUGCUCUUACGGGUGGCGAGUGGUGGACGGGUGAGGAAUACAUCGGAAUCUACUUUUUCGUGGGGGAUAACGUAGGGAAACUUACUCUAAUACCGCAUACGACCUACGGGUGAAAGCAGGGGAUCUUCGGACCUUGCGCGAUUGAAUGAGCCGAUGUCGGAUUAGCUAGUUGGCGGGGUAAAGGCCCACCAAGGCGACGAUCCGUAGCUGGUCUGAGAGGAUGAUCAGCCACACUGGAACUGAGACACGGUCCAGACUCCUACGGGAGGCAGCAGUGGGGAAUAUUGGACAAUGGGCGCAAGCCUGAUCCAGCCAUACCGCGUGGGUGAAGAAGGCCUUCGGGUUGUAAAGCCCUUUUGUUGGGAAAGAAAAGCAGCAGGUUAAUACCCCGCUGUUCUGACGGUACCCAAAGAAUAAGCACCGGCUAACUUCGUG